UCAAAAACAUGGCCUUCUUUGUUUUUAAGGUCUGACCUGCCCACUGAUUUUUAAAGGGCCGUGGUAUACUGACCAUGCGAAGGUAGCAUAAUCACUUGCCUCCUAAUUAGAGGCUGGAAUGAAUGGUUGAACGAGAAACUGACUGUCUCUUCUACUAACUUGAAUUUAAUUUUUUGGUGAAAAAGCUAAAAUUUUCUUGGAGGACGAUAAGACCCUAUAGAUCUUUAUAAAUAAUAUUUUAACUUUUUAGUUGUUAUUUAGUUUUAUUUUAGUUUAUUUUGUUGGGGCGACAUUGAGUGAAGAUAGAUCUCUCAUAAUUACUUUACAAAAAUAUUUGAGUGAUGAUCCUUUAAUGAAUUUGGAUAAAGUUACCUUAGGGAUAACAGCGUAAUUUCUUUUGAGAGUUCUAAUCGACAAAGAAGUUUGCGACCUCGAUGUUGGUUCAGGAUUCCUUUUAGGCGCAGUAGUUUAAAAAGGUAGUCUGUUCGACUAUUAAAUUCCUACAUGAUCUGAGUUCAAAC
rnacentral:rRNA from 1 species